AAAAGAAACUAACAAGGAUUCCCCUAGUAACUGCGAGUGAAGCGGGAAAAGCUCAAAUUUUAAAUCUGGCAGUCUAUGGCUGUCCGAGUUGUAGUCUGGAGAAGUGCUUUCCGUGCCGGACCGUGUAUAAGUCUCUUGGAAUAGAGCGUCAUAGAGGGUGAGAAUCCCGUCUUUGACACGGACUACCGGUGCUUUGUGAUGCGCUCUCAAAGAGUCGAGUUGUUUGGGAAUGCAGCUCAAAAUGGGUGGUAAAUUCCAUCUAAAGCUAAAUAUUGGCGAGAGACCGAUAGCGAACAAGUACCGUGAGGGAAAGAUGAAAAGCACUUUGGAAAGAGAGUUAAACAGUACGUGAAAUUGCUGAAAGGGAAACGCUUGAAGUCAGUCGCGUUGUGCAGAACUCAACCUAGCUCUUGCUUGGUGCACUUUCUGUAUGACGGGCCAGCAUCGAUUUUGACCGUCGGAAAAGGAUUGAAGGAAUGUGGCACCUCCGGGUGUGUUAUAGCCUUUGGUCGCAUACGGCGGUUGGGAUCGAGGAACGCAGCGUGCCGCAAGGUGGGGCUUCGGCCUACAUUCACGCUUAGGAUGCUGGCAUAAUGGCUUUAAACGACCCGUCUUGAAACACGGACCAAGGAGUCUAACAUGCCUGCGAGUGUUUGGGUGGAAAACCCGAGCGCGUAAUGAAAGUGAAAGUUGAGACCUCUGUCGUGGAGGGCAUCGACGCCCGGACCUGAAGUUUUCUGACGGAUCCGCGGUAGAGCAUGUAUGUUGGGACCCGAAAGAUGGUGAACUAUGCCUGAAUAGGGUGAAGCCAGAGGAAACUCUGGUGGAGGCUCGUAGCGAUUCUGACGUGCAAAUCGAUCGUCAAAUUUGGGUAUAGGGGCGAAAGACUAAUCGAACCAUCUAGUAGCUGGU
rnacentral:rRNA from 1 species